UUUCCGUAGGUGAACCUGCGGAAGGAUCAUUAAAGAGUAAGGGUCUCUGGCCCGAACCUCCAACCCUCUGUUGUUAUAACUACUUCGUUGCUUUGGCGGGACCGCGAAGGUUCUCCCGAGCGCGCCAGUCUCCGGACAGGCGAGCGCCCGCCAGAGUCUAACCAAACUCUUGUUUUAAACCAGUCGUCUGAGUAUAAAAUUUUAAUUAAAUUAAAACUUUCAACAACGGAUCUCUUGGUUCUC
rnacentral:misc_RNA from 1 species